GACGAACGCUGGCGGCGUGCUUAACAUAUGCAAGUCGAACGGAAAGGCCCUUCGGGGUACUCGAGUGGCGAACGGGUGAGUAACACGUGGGUGAUCUGCCCUGCACUUUGGGAUAAGCCUGGGAAACUGGGUCUAAUACCGAAUAGGACCACGCGCUUCAUGGUGUGUGGUGGAAAGCUUUUGCGGUGUGGGAUGGGCCCGCGGCCUAUCAGCUUGUUGGUGGGGUAAUGGCCUACCAAGGCGACGACGGGUAGCCGGCCUGAGAGGGUGACCGGCCACACUGGGACUGAGAUACGGCCCAGACUCCUACGGGAGGCAGCAGUGGGGAAUAUUGCACAAUGGGCGCAAGCCUGAUGCAGCGACGCCGCGUGAGGGAUGACGGCCUUCGGGUUGUAAACCUCUUUCAAUAGGGACGAAGCGUGAGUGACGGUACCUAUAGAAGAAGCACCGGCCAACUACGUGCCAGCAGCCGCGGUAAUACGUAGGGUGCGAGCGUUGUCCGGAAUUACUGGGCGUAAAGAGCUCGUAGGUGGUUUGUCGCGUUGUUCGUGAAAACUCACAGCUUAACUGUGGGCGUGCGGGCGAUACGGGCAGACUAGAGUACUGCAGGGGAGACUGGAAUUCCUGGUGUAGCGGUGGAAUGCGCAGAUAUCAGGAGGAACACCGGUGGCGAAGGCGGGUCUCUGGGCAGUAACUGACGCUGAGGAGCGAAAGCGUGGGGAGCGAACAGGAUUAGAUACCCUGGUAGUCCACGCCGUAAACGGUGGGUACUAGGUGUGGGUUCCUUCCUUGGGAUCCGUGCCGUAGCUAACGCAUUAAGUACCCCGCCUGGGGAGUACGGCCGCAAGGCUAAAACUCAAAGGAAUUGACGGGGGCCCGCACAAGCGGCGGAGCAUGUGGAUUAAUUCGAUGCAACGCGAAGAACCUUACCUGGGUUUGACAUGCACAGGACGCCGGCAGAGAUGUCGGUUCCCUUGUGGCCUGUGUGCAGGUGGUGCAUGGCUGUCGUCAGCUCGUGUCGUGAGAUGUUGGGUUAAGUCCCGCAACGAGCGCAACCCUUGUCCUAUGUUGCCAGCGGGUUAUGCCGGGGACUCGUAGGAGACUGCCGGGGUCAACUCGGAGGAAGGUGGGGAUGACGUCAAGUCAUCAUGCCCCUUAUGUCCAGGGCUUCACACAUGCUACAAUGGCCGGUACAAAGGGCUGCGAUGCCGUGAGGUGGAGCGAAUCCUUUCAAAGCCGGUCUCAGUUCGGAUCGGGGUCUGCAACUCGACCCCGUGAAGUCGGAGUCGCUAGUAAUCGCAGAUCAGCAACGCUGCGGUGAAUACGUUCCCGGGCCU
rnacentral:rRNA from 1 species